rnacentral:tmRNA from 1 species
UGGUUUUGACAGCGCUGAUAUUGGACAGUAAGCACGUCGGGCGUGGGAGUUUGGCCCGUUAAUCCCAGACUUCGCACUUUUUAGUUGCCAACAACAACUACGCACUCGCUGCCUAAUUAACCAGGUUGACAAGGCUUAAUCGGGUCGGCCAAGGCUGCCGGUCUGACGAGUAUCCCGCCAUUCUUUAGGCCUGUUAUGGGUGGCAUACGGGGUAUCAUUCAAACGGGAUGCGCAAGACGGAUGCCUCUGCCGUUUUGCUAAGAUUCAGGGGAUAAGCUUCGGGUGGCCCGUCUUCCGGCAGCCCGCUGAUGAAAAACCAAGGAGGACUAAACGUGUAGAAAGCUGCCUGAUGCGACGUUUGGACGGCGGUUCGAGUCCGCCCAGCUCCACA